UACAGAGGGUGCGAGCGUUGUCCGGAAUUACUGGGCGUAAAGGGCGCGUAGGCGGCCUGAUAAGUCGGGGGUGAAAGUCAGCGGCUCAACCGCUGGACUGCCUUCGAGACUGUCGGGCUUGAGCAUGGUAGAGGCUGGCGGAAUUCCCGGUGUAGUGGUGGAAUGCGUAGAGAUCGGGAAGAACAUCGGUGGCGAAGGCGGCCAGCUGGGCCAUUGCUGACGCUGAUGCGCGACAGCGUGGGGAGCAAACAGG
rnacentral:rRNA from 1 species